rnacentral:rRNA from 1 species
AAAUUGAAGAGUUUGAUCAUGGCUCAGAUUGAACGCUGGCGGCAGGCCUAACACAUGCAAGUCGAACGGUAACAGGAAGCAGCUUGCUGCUUUGCUGACGAGUGGCGGACGGGUGAGUAAUGUCUGGGAAACUGCCCGAUGGAGGGGGAUAACUACUGGAAACGGUGGCUAAUACCGCAUAACGUCGCAAGACCAAAGAGGGGGACCUUC